GCCUGGCUGGCUCAGUCGGUAGGGCAUGCGACUCUUGAUCUCAGGGGCAUGUGAGUUCAAGCCCCAUGUUGGGUG
rnacentral:tRNA from 1 species